rnacentral:rRNA from 1 species
CCUACGGGGGGCUGCAGUGGGGAAUAUUGGACAAUGGGGGGAACCCUGAUCCAGCCAUGCCGCGUGUGUGAAGAAGGCCCUCGGGUUGUAAAGCACUUUCAGUGAGGAAGAACGCCUGGUGGUUAAUACCCAUCAGGAAAGACAUCACUCAGAAGAAGCACCGGCUAACUCCGUGCCAGCAGCCGCGGUAAUACGGAGGGUGCGAGCGUUAAUCGGAAUUACUGGGCGUAAAGCGCGCGUAGGUGGCUUGAUAAGCCGGUUGUGAAAGCCCCGGGCUCAACCUGGGAACGGCAUCCGGAACUGUCAAGCUAGAGUGCAGGAGAGGAAGGUAGAAUUCCCGGUGUAGCGGUGAAAUGCGUAGAGAUCGGGAGGAAUACCAGUGGCGAAGGCGGCCUUCUGGACUGACACUGACACUGAGGUGCGAAAGCGUGGGUAGCAAACAGGAUUAGAUACCCUGGUAGUC